rnacentral:tRNA from 3 species
GAUUCUGUAGCUCAGCUGGUAGAGCAGUACACUUUUAAUGUACGGGUCCUGGGUUCGAAUCCCAGCGGAAUCACUA